rnacentral:rRNA from 1 species
AUUGAACGCUGGCGGCAUGCUUUACACAUGCAAGUCGAACGGCAGCAUAGAGAGCUUGCUCUCUGAUGGCGAGUGGCGAACGGGUGAGUAAUGCAUCGGAACGUGUCCGUUUGUGGGGGACAACUAUCCGAAAGGAUAGCUAAUACCGCAUGAGACCUGAGGGUGAAAGCCGGGGGACCGCAAGGCCUGGCGCAAACGGAGCGGCCGAUGUCUGAUUAGCUAGUUGGGGAGGUAACGGCUCACCAAGGCGACGAUCAGUAGCUGGUCUGAGAGGACGACCAGCCACACUGGAACUGAGACACGGUCCAGACUCCUACGGGAGGCAGCAGUGGGGAAUUUUGGACAAUGGGGGCAACCCUGAUCCAGCAAUGCCGCGUGCGGGAAGAAGGCCUUCGGGUUGUAAACCGCUUUGUCAGGGACGAAGGACGUGACGGUACCUGGAGAAAAAGCAACGGCUAACUACGUG